AUUGAACGCUGGCGGCAGGCUUAACACAUGCAAGUCGAGCGGAGAUGAGGUGCUUGCACCUUAUCUUAGCGGCGGACGGGUGAGUAAUGCUUAGGAAUCUGCCUAUUAGUGGGGGACAACAUUCCGAAAGGAAUGCUAAUACCGCAUACGUCCUACGGGAGAAAGCAGGGGAUCUUCGGACCUUGCGCUAAUGGAUGAGCCUAAGUCGGAUUAGCUAGUUGGUGGGGUAAAGGCCUACCAAGGCGACGAUCUGUAGCGGGUCUGAGAGGAUGAUCCGCCGCACUGGGACUGAGACACGGCCCAGACUCCUACGGGAGGCAGCAGUGGGGAAUAUUGGACAAUGGGGGGAACCCUGAUCCAGCCAUGCCGCGUGUGUGAAGAAGGCCUUAUGGUUGUAAAGCACUUUAAGCGUGGAGGAGGCUACUGAGACUAAUACUCUUGGAUAGUGGACGUUACUCGCAGAAUAAGCACCGGCUAACUCUGUGCCAGCAGCCGCAGUAA
rnacentral:rRNA from 1 species